AGCCCCUCACCAUGUCCCCGCCGCCCCUUCCGCUCCUGACGGGGCCGGGUCAGGGAGCGGAGGGCGCGGGGCGGAGCCGCCUCCCCCCUCCCCACAUCGCCCCCUGCUGGCGGCUGCCGGGAGCUGCCGGGCGCCAUUUUGCCCUCCCCGCCCCUCAGCCCCACACAAGCAGCAGGCGGAGCGGGGCGAGGCUGCACGGCUUUAAUGGCGGGGCCGGCCCCACAGCGACACCGCGUCCCCACGGGUCGGCUCCGGGCAGCCCGGGGGCCAUGGGGAGCCCGGGGGCUUUGGGGAGUCCGGGGGCUCCGGCGUGGAUCAGUCCUGUGGGGAUAGGGGGCGGUGAGAGCGGCAGGGCUCGCUCCUCACGCCCCCCGUCACGGUGUCCCCAUGUUGUGGUGUCACAGUGUCCCCAUGUCGAGAUGUCCCGGUGUCCCCAUGUCCCGGUGUUCCAGUGUCCCCAUAUCACGAUGUCCCGAUGUCACAGCAUCCCGGUGUCCCCAUGUCACGGUGUCCCCAUAUUGCAGCACCCCGGUGUCCCCAUAUUGCUGCAUCCCAAUGUCCCCAUAUUGUGGUGUCCCAGUGUCCCCAUGUCAAGGUGUCCUGGUGUCCCCAUGUCGUGGUGUCCCAGUCUCCCCAUGUCACGGUGUCCCCAUAUUGCAGCAUCCCAGUGUCCCCAUGUUGUGGUGUCCCCAUGUCGUGGCGUCCCCUUGGCCCCAUGUCCCAGUGUCCCCAUAUUGCAGCAUCCCAGUGUCCCCAUGUCGUGGUGUCCCCAUGUCAUGGUGUCCCGGUGUCCCCAUGUCAAGGCGUCCCAGUGUCCCCAUGUGACAGUGUCCUGGUGUCCCCAUGUUGUGGUGUCCCAGUCUCCCCAUGUCACAGUGUCCCCAUAUCGCAGCAUCCCGGUGUCCCCAUGUCUUGGUGUCCCAGUGUCCCUAUGUCACGGUGACCCGGUGUCCCCAUGUUGCGGUGUCCUGGUGUCCCCACAUCGUGGUGUCCCCUUGUCCCCAUGUUGCAGCAUCCCAGUGUCCCCAUGUCGCGGUGUCCUGGUGUCCCCAUGUUGUAGUGUCCCCUUGUCCCUGUGUCCCCAUGUCACGGCAUCCAGGUGUCCCUAUGUCGCAGUGUCCCCUUGUCCCCAUGUCCCAGUGUCCCCACGUCCCCACCAUACCUACCCACUCAGCCUCAUCCACGCCCUCGAAGGAGUCCUGUGGCAGCGGGUCGUCGCGGUUGCCCAGCCGGGCCACCAUGGCACUGAGGAGCUACGGGGCAAGCCAUGGGGUGGGGACAGGGCUUCGUGGGGGG
rnacentral:lncRNA from 1 species